AUUGAACGCUGGCGGCAGGCCUAACACAUGCAAGUCGAGCGAGCGGCGGACGGGUGAGUAAUGCCUAGGUAUCUGCCUGGUAGUGGGGGAUAACGUUCGGAAACGGGCGCGAAUGCCGCAUACCAUCAGAUGUGCACAGAUGGACUUAGCUAGUUGGUGGGGUAAAGGCUCACCAAGGCGACGAUCCCUAGCUGGUCUGAGAGGAUGACCAGCCACACUGGAACUGAGACACGGCCCAGACUCCUACGGGAGGCAGCAGUGGGGAAUAUUGCACAAUGGGCGCAAGCCUGAUGCAGCCAUGCCGCGUGUAUGAAGAAGGCCUUCGGGUUGUAAAGUACUUUCAGCGGGGAGGCGUUACCCGCAGAAGAAGCACCGGCUAACUCCGUGCCAGCAGCCGCGGUAAUUC
rnacentral:rRNA from 1 species